CAGCACCUCAAGUGGUCAGGAUGAUUAUUGGGCCUAGAGCAUCCGUAGCCGGCGCUGUAAGUUUUCGGUUAAAUCUGUACGCUCAACGUACAGGCUGCCGGGAAUACUGCAGCGCUAGGGAGUGGGAGAGGUAGACGGUACUCGGUAGGAAGGGGUAAAAUCCUUUGAACUAUUAAUGACCACCUGUGGCGAAGGCGGUCUACCAGAACACGUCCGACGGUGAGGGAUGAAAGCUGGGGGAGCAAACCGGAUUAGAUACCCGAGUAGUCC
rnacentral:rRNA from 1 species